AAGAAAAGAAGGAUCGGCCGGCUAAGACGAGCGAACACAACCGGCAGCGAAUACGUAAAAAGAUAGAAAAAAAAUGCUUCAUCAGCCCGGUGACAGUAUUAUAAACAUACUUGAUAAAUACAUGAGGAACAUGUCGUCUACCGCAUAUCAAGUAUACGGAUGGUGGUACAUGACGUGCCCAGCCAAUCGUUUAGCUAUCGAUCUUCGAAAAUAUGAAGCACACGAUAACAUUUAGGAGACUUUGUUGGAAUAGCUUCAACGAAGUGUCUAUUUGAGAGAAACUAUAGACUGGAUGCUGGACCACCCGGUAGGAGUAGACAGCAAGCGUUAGCUGAGCUCAGGACAUCGUCUUUGAAGUACGCAAAGUCUGAGA